rnacentral:misc_RNA from 1 species
UUUCCGUAGGUGAACCUGCGGAAGGAUCAUUAAUGGUUAGUGAAAUAUGACGCUGCUUCUAUCUCUCUCCGGAGUGUAUGUGCACGCUUGUUAUCCUUUAUUUCCACCACUGUCCACCAAUUGUAGUUCUUUCAGAAGUCCUAUGUUGUAUUUUACAAUCUCUGAAUGUAAUAAAAUGGUUUUGACUCUUGGGAAAUACAAUACAACUUUCAGCAACGGAACUCUUGGCUCUCGCAUCGAUGAAGAACGCAACAGAUGGGACGAGCACACGUCUGAACU